rnacentral:rRNA from 1 species
UACGGAGGGUGCAAGCGUUAAUCGGAAUUACUGGGCGUAAAGCGCACGUAGGUGGUUUGUUAAGCUAGCUGUGAAAUCCCCGGGCUCAACCUGGGCACUGCAGUUAGAACUGGCAAGCUAGAGUAGGGUAGAGGGGUGUGGAAUUCCAGGUGUAGCGGUGAAAUGCGUAGAUAUCUGGAGGAACACCGGUGGCGAAGGCGGCAUCCUGGACCGGCAUUGACGCUGAGGAGCGAAAGCCAGGGGAGCAAACGGG